rnacentral:rRNA from 1 species
UACGUAGGGCGCAAGCGUUAUCCGGAUUUAUUGGGCGUAAAGAGCUCGUAGGCGGUUUGUCGCGUCUGCCGUGAAAGUCCGGGGCUCAACUCCGGAUCUGCGGUGGGUACGGGCAGACUAGAGUGAUGUAGGGGAGACUGGAAUUCCUGGUGUAGCGGUGAAAUGCGCAGAUAUCAGGAGGAACACCGAUGGCGAAGGCAGGUCUCUGGGCCGAUACUGACGCUGAGGAGCGAAAGCGUGGGGAGCGAACAGG